GUUUCUUGGCUUAAACCAUGAGAAAAUUGUGACUAUAUUUAUGAGACGGAGAGGGUGUUGCAGGAGAGAGGAGAGGCAGAGCAGAAAGGCAAUGAGUUUAGCAGCUCUGUUAGGUUGAAUGCACACUGGAGGUCAUGAUGUCCUGGGGAGGAGAAGAGAAACAAGUGGUAGGAUCAAGACACUGUUUUCUGUUCCAGCUCAUUUUCCGAACAACGUUAUGUCACAGGUCACUUGGCUGUCCUUGGCUCAACUGUGAGUAAGGAGGAGUCCUGCAAAAUGAAAAAUGACUACCCAGAUUUGCCACCAAAAUCCAGCAGGAGUGCCUUAGAAAGCAGGUAACAUACUCACAGGAUCUGUGGAUCAGGACGUGAACAUCUUUGGAAGCCAUUAUCUACCCCACACCAUCUCUCUAGCACUUAGUACACUGCCUGUACAGAGCAGAUGCUCGGCAAGGAUCUGGAGAAAGAAAGAAUGAAUGAAUAAAUAAACAAAGAAAUCAGGAGCCAGAUGAAGCCUCCCCUUCUUUCCCCCUGAGCCCUGGCCCACCUGUGAGCAUCUGACCCAGAUCAAAUGCUCCAGGUCAAAGGCGGACGAGAGGACACAGACACACAGAGACGGCAUGUGAAGACAGGCAAGAUUGUGUGAUGCUGCCACGAGCCCAGGGAUGCUGGGAACCAGAAGCUGGAAGAGACAAGGAAGGAUUCUCCCUCUCAGGGUUAUUGUGGUGACCACAGAAUGCAUUUGGAAGUGGCUUUGUAAACUGCAGAGUGAUAAGCCAAUUCAAUAUUUGGAGUUGUGUUUUAUCUUCCAAAGUCCUCAGUAAACAUUUGUAGAACUGACCGGUGUUGGAUUGGGCACUGUGUCUCUUCACAG
rnacentral:lncRNA from 1 species